CUCAAUGCGGUUUAUGUUUCCUUUAUGCGCUCUGUGUUUGCAGGAAAUUUAGGAGGAAAAGUUGAAUUUCAAAGAAUAUGACAGGAAAUAAGAAGAAGGAAGCCAGAUGGAUGAUGUCUGUGCUGUGGAAUUUGUAUAGAGCUUUGGUCAUCUGAAGGUGAUCUCUAGGCUGAUAUCGAAGUUAAAUGUUGUUCAGGAAGUUUAGAAAAUGCAGAAUCAUUUAAUCCUUUGUGGAUUAAUAUUACUUAAUAGCUUUGGGAUGGGAAAUAUGCUGUGUUCAAGGUGGCAUUGGACCAUUUGGAUUGUUAACUUUAUCUUAGGGUUUUCAAAGCUCAAGGUAAGCC